rnacentral:misc_RNA from 1 species
UUUUUUUAAAACUAUACACUAACGUACAAUAACUAAGUAACUUGUACAUCUAUUUUGAGUGUAUCUAAAUUUGUACGGGUGAUGGCAUACGCAUUAUACGUGAUACGAGAGACUAAGAAGAUCCAAAAAGUUUAGCUUUUGAUCGCGCAGUCGCUUAGAUACAGCGGCACAGCUUAAAACUCUAUAUUCGUUGUCAUCUACCUGGUCUGACACCUUCAUCAUUUGGCUCAUUCAUACAACCAAGAUAAAUUAUAUUCGUCAACUUGAAUCAUGUCGGAAAAUCAAGAAGCAAAAAUUGAUGCUGGAAAUAUUGAAAAUAAAUUGAAAAAUUUCGGUAUCAAUGGUAGUAUUGAUAUUUUGGAUAAAAAAUUAUUGAAAAGUUCAUCAAUUGAUUCACACAAAGAAGGGACAGUUGUUGUUGAUCCAGCUAAAAAUAAUCCAGUCGAAGAAUUGAAUAAAAUUGAAGUUAAGGAUCAAGUCCCAACUGGCGAAUUAUCAAGAAAUAAUUCAAUCGAUGGAGCAAGAAAUGUUGGUGAGUGCAGGAAUAUAUUGCCCGUAUUAGUAGAAAAUUUAUGCUCGUCCCUUGGAACUAUAAAUGAUGUCUCAGACGAGCCCCUCGCCCCUGACCCAACUUCACGACAAUCAACAAGUCAACAACAAUCAUCUACAUCAUCUUCAUUAUUACCACAAUUAUCAACAUCAACAAUAGCAUCAACAACAUCAAUCCCAUCAACAACAACACGUGAUAUCAAUAAUAAAAAAAUUGAUAUAAAUUAUUUACAAGAUUUAUGUCCAUCAGAUAUUAAAGCAGCAAUAACACGUCUUGAAGAAACUUUAAAAAGUGUUGAUGUUGAUGCAUUGAGUACUGAUAAUGAUUUAGAAGCAUCAGAUAAAACAAUAAUUAUAAAUUUAAUACAAAAUCUUGUAUCAAAUUUAAAAAAAAUUAAAAUUAAUGAUAAUAAUAAUAAAAAUGAUACAAGUCAGUCAAGUCGUCGUACUGGUAAUCGUCAUCGUGGUAAUAGACAUACAAUUGGUGUUAGUAAAGAAGAAUUAGCAAGUGCAAGAAAAUGGCUUGAACAAGAACAUGGACAACAAACAAUUAAAUUUAAACAACAAAAAAUAUUAAAUAAAACAAUUGAAAAAACAAUUACAAAUGAUACAACAUUAUCUAAUGAUACAACAACACAACAAUCAAGUAUUUCAACAUCUCAAAUAUCACCGGAAAAUUAUAAAUUUGUAAAUAGUAUACCAUCUGUUGUUAGAAGUUGUGAUAAACAUAUUAAAGAUGCUAUUAAUCAACAACAAUCAUUACAACAUAAAACAAAAGAUACAGAAUUUAAUAUUGAUAUUAAUGAUAAUACAUUAACAAUUGAACAAACAAUACAACAACAAAAUAAUGAUAUUGUAACAUCAUUAUUACCAACAACAAAUCAAACACAAAAUAAAUCAAAUAAAUUUUUUGCUAAAAAAUCAAAAAUUAAACGUGCAAAUACAAUUGAUAUACCAAAUUAUUUAAAAAUGCAAGAAGAAAAAAAGAGAAAUUCAUUAAAUGGUUAUGCUGAUGUUGGUAAUAGAAUAUCUGGAUUAAGAAAACCAAUUGAUAUUAGUGAUAAAAUAACAUGGAAUUAUUAUGGUAGUCAUCAAACAAUAAGUCCAGCUCCAAUACCAAAUUUUGAGCCAAAAACUGAUAAUGAUAGAAAAUUUCUUGCUCUUAUUAAUAGAAAUAAUAAUAAUAAUAAUAAUAAUGAUAGUAAUAAUAGUAGUAAUAAUAAUUUAUUAAAUAAAGUAAAUUGGAAUGUAAAUGGUAAUGUUAAUCAACCAUUUAAAACAUUUAGCUAUCGUCAAACAAGUUCAGUAGCUGAUAAAAAUUGGAAAAGUAGAUUUUCAAAUAUUAAAACAACAUUUGAUCAACAAUCAUUGCCAACAUCACCAUCAUCAUUACCACCAAUGUCAUCAAGAAGAUCAUCAAGAGAUCAUGAUAUUGAUUUAACAUUAAAAAAUGGUAAUUUAACACCAGAUAGUUGUACAUCUGAACGUGUUAAUACAAUGAAAUUUGGUAAAUUUGAUAAUUCACAUGAUCAAAAUCAAAAUUGUCAACCAUCUUAUUAUAAUCCUGGUAAUGUUGUAUCAAAAUUACCAAUUUUUACACAUGCAGCAACUUCACCAUUUACAAAAAUAUCAAAUCCAUCACCAAAAUAUCCAGAUGGACAUAAUAAAAUUAAUAAAAUAACAGAUAAAACAAUUGAAAAACCAAUAUUAUCAUCAUAUUUACCAAAUUGUGUAUCAAAUGGUUUAUUAAAAGCUAAAGUUAAAAUGUUUGAUCAUCAAAAUUCACCAACACAAAUACCAAAAUCAACAAUAAAUUAUAAUAGAAAAUCAUAUCCAGAAAGAAAUGAAAAUCGUUCUAUUUUUGUAAAACAACAACAACAACAACAAGAUACACCAAUAACAUCAUUAAAAAAUCAACGUAAAAAAGACAAGAUACAUCGUAAUAAUGGACAUUUUUGUAAUGAUGAAAAUGAUGAAGAUGGUGAUGAUGAAGAAGAAGAAUUAAAAACUGUUGAAAAAUAUCCAAAAAAAAAUUCAAUAACAACAACAUCAUCACAGCCACAACAACAGCAUGUACAAUCAGUUGCUGUACAAACAAAUACAAGUGAAUUUGAAAAUAAAAUAAAUAUUCAAGAUGUUACAUAUCCAAAAAAAUUAUCAUAUAAAUUUGUACAACAACCAGAACAUAAAGCAUUUUAUUCAGAAAAUGAAAAUCCAAUUUAUAUACCACCAAAAAUUAUUGAUAAUUAUAGUAAUAAUGAAAUAAUGAUAAAUAGAAGUGAAAAUAAAGCAUUUGAUAAAAUAUUUAUGCCUAUUGAAACUGAUAAAAUGAUUGAAAAUCAAGAUAUAAGUCCAAAUAAAAUUGUAACAAGAUAUACAAGUGCCAUAGCAACGCUUGCUUCAAAUACAUCUGAAUCAAUGAAUCAAGAUAAUUAUGAAUUUAUAAAUAAAUUACCAGAAUUAGGCAAUACAUCUUCUCAACAAAUUUUAAAUGGUAUAGAAAAAAAUCAAAAUCAUUUAAUAACAAAUGUUCAAGAAGCAAGUGAUACACAAAAAGUUAUUGGACCACAGUAUCAACAAUCUUAUCAAAGAUCUUUAAAUGAUCAACAAGACAUUCAACAUAAUUAUCAACAGUCUUAUCCUGUUUUAAAUGGUCAAAGAAAUAUUCAACAUAAUUAUCAACCAUCUUAUCAAGUUGCUGAACGACAAAAUGAUAGUCAAAAAAAUUAUCAACAAUCUUAUUCAACUGGAAAUAAUUGUGAGAGUUAUCAAAAUAAUUAUCAACCUGUUUAUCCAGUAGCAAGUAUUAAAGAUCAAGUCUAUACAAAUUUUAUACCAAAUCAAAUGAGUACAAGUCUUCAGGAUGAUAUUGAUAGACAUAAUAUGUUACAAAAAAAUUUAAUAAAACGUUUACAAGAAAAAUCAGAUGAUGAACAAGAAUUAAUAACAUCACCAUUAUCACCACCGACAAUUGAAGCAAAUAAUACACAAGAUAAAAUAAAUAUAUUUGAAGAAAAAUUACAAAUAAUGCCAAUAACAUUACCAAAAAUAAAUGUUAUUAAUGUUAUAACACCAACAAAAAUAAUUUCACAACCAUCAUUUCCAAUAAAACAAUUAUCACAUCCAAAAACAACAACUAAAACAAAAAUAUUACCAAUUGAUUCAAGUGAUGAAUAUCUUGUAUCAUGUGCUAAUAAACCAAAUCGUUCAAUUGUAUUAUCAAAAUCAGAAUCAUGGCAUCAACUUGCUAUGUUAAAUAAAUCACAAGUUAAUAAUUAUCUUCAAGUACCAACACAAAAUAAUAAUAUAAAUAAUAAUAAACCACCAAAACCAAAUUCACCAUUAUUAAAUCGUUUAUCAAAAAAUUUUGAUAAUGGUAUGAAAAAAAUGGAAGAAAAAGUACAAAGAUAUUUUAAUAAUAGUAAUAAUAAUUCAACAACAAAUUCAACAACAAGUCUUGAUUGUCAAGAUACAAUUAAAAAUAAAACAACAACAACAACAACAAUUAAUAAACGUGAUAAAAAAUUAACAAAAAGAAAUUUUACAACAUUUAAAAAUAGUGGUAAUGCACUUGUUAGAAGUCAAACAAUGCCACAUAUAUUUGAUGAUAAUCUCGACGUUGACGAAGCUUUCGAUAGCCUAUUUGAAGAGGCAACACGCGAUAAUCGACAUUAAUAAUUAUAAUUCCCUUUUAUUUUAUAAAUUCGCAGGUCGUUAAUGAGGGUGGCAUUUAUUGUCCAACAAAGGACUCACUGUUAAGAAACCAAUGUCACCGUUUGCCAAAUUUCGUCUUCUUGAUCGACAAAAUAGUCUUCAACUAAAAAG